CCUACGGGAGGCAGCAGUGGGGAAUAUUGGACAAUGGGGGGAACCCUGAUCCAGCCAUGCCGCGUGUGUGAAGAAGGCCCUCGGGUUGUAAAGCACUUUCAGUGAGGAAGAACGCCUGGUGGUUAAUACCCAUCAGGAAAGACAUCACUCACAGAAGAACCACCGGCUAACUCCGUGCCAGCAGCCGCGGUAAUACGGAGGGUGCGAGCGUUAAUCGGAAUUACUGGGCGUAAAGCGCGCGUAGGUGGCUUGAUAAGCCGGUUGUGAAAGCCCCGGGCUCAACCUGGGAACGGCAUCCGGAACUGUCAAGCUAGAGUGCAGGAGAGGAAGGUAGAAUUACCGGUGUAGCGGUGAAAUGCGUAGAGAUCGGGAGGAAUACCAGUGGCGAAGGCGGCCUUCUGGACUGAAACUGACACUGAGGUGCGAAAGCGUGGGUAGCAAACAGGAUUAGAUACCCUUGUAGUC
rnacentral:rRNA from 1 species